UUUAUAAAUAUUGUUUGGAUAUGACGCCAGACUCCAUGUUCAUUUCCUAGGUGAAGAACCCCAAACACUAGGAGACUAAAGAAGAAGAAGUUAUGAUCCAAAUCAAGUCUGAAAUUUCUUUCAACUGAUUGCUUUCCCUGCUAGUAACUCAAUAGGCAAUACUACUUCUUUCAAAAAUCAGUGAACGGAAGUGCUAUGAAGAAACAAAUUGGGAGAAAUCUUCAUUCUUCCCUUCUGCAGUCCCAGUGGAAAAUCCACCAUGUUUACGAGGCCUCAAACUCUGACUUUCUGUCUCAUCCGCCUGGGAGACUGCUGGAGGUUCUGAUCGACGCCUGCCACCUGUGAAUUGCUGCAAUCGUUGGGAGAAUUUCCUGCCUGGGAGUCUGGAAACUGCCAAGAGUGAAAAGCCGCAGCCAGCCAGCGAGGCCUCUGUUGUCAUUGGCCCAAACAACAACAAAAACAGCCACAACCACCACCACCACCACAACAAAACACGCCACGUGUGCACAAGCACACACAAACACGCCCACAGAACCAACCAAACGGACAAGGCUUCAAGGAGAAGCUUCUGGGCUGCGCGUUCCGGCAGCGAGGCCUGUCCCUUGGCACGGGGCCAUGGCAGCCCAGUUCCCAGCCCCCCACCAUCUGUCAUCAGCACUCUGCCUACUGUCAAGAGACACAGAGAAUUAAUCAUGAACCCAGUUGCCUAGAGGAGAAAAUAAUCUAUUUGUGGCAGUCUGAAAAAGCAAGAAGUUAUACGCCUCCAGGCUUCUUUGAAUUUUCCCAUCAGAGCCCCAGAGCUGACCCAACAAGCAAAAAUUUCUUCCUCAUUAGAAGACAGGGUAAGGGGGAAAGACUGGGGAGGGGGAGAUUGGUUUUUGUUUUGUUUUGUUUUAAGUUUAUUUUUACUUAUUUUGAGAGAUGGAGAGCAAGUGGAGGAGGGGCAGAGAGAGAGAUGGGGGGAGACAGAAUCCCAAGCAGGCUCCGUGCUAUCAGCGCAGAGCCCAAUGCAGGGCUCAGACUCAUGAAGUGUGAGAUCAUGACCUGUGUGAGAUCAUGACCUGAGCUGAAAUCAGAGUCAGAUGCUUAACCAACUGAGCCCCCAGGCGCCCCAAGAAAAAGGGUUUUGAAUAUAGUUUGUCGUAAUCCUCUCACACUGACAGUGCACAGAAUGCCCUCUGCACAUUUCCGUCAAUAAACCCCAUUCCAUCGCCA
rnacentral:lncRNA from 1 species